UACUCAAUGCCCUAACCGAUGAAAUGCUGUUAAGGGACUUGUCAUUAACUGUAUACAUUCCCCUUGCAUAUGACCUCCCAAAGGGCAGCACCUCACACUUGCUUGGAUUAAACUACAUCUGCCAUUUCUCCCAGUUUAGAAGAAUG